AGGUAUGUCAUUUAUGCUCCAAGCAGCCACAGCAAGUAUUCAGGGGAGUCAUUUCCAGGAGUUUCUAACGCUCUGUUUGAUAUUGAAAGGAAAGUGGACCCAUGCGAGGCUAAGGGAGAAGUGAAGAGAAAGCUUUGUUGCAACCUUCACUGUGCAGGCAGCUUCAGAGGCUUUGAAACAAGAAGCCUAAGAGGAUUCCUUAG
rnacentral:lncRNA from 1 species